rnacentral:lncRNA from 1 species
GGGAAUAAUAAUUUGACAUGAUUUGUUUCUCAAGUUCUCCAGGACACAUUUUACAGAGUCAGUUUAAUCGCAAUCAUCAAUGGUACAGUGAUAAACCCAGAGAUCACCAUUCAAAACUGGGUGAGUAGACCCAUUGCAAAUGUACAGCAUAAUAAAGGAUAUAAUUGGCUGAUCAGAUAUGUGUGAAUUAUCUGAUUAUUUGUGGGUUUCAGCUUGAUGCAACAUUGAAUCCACAUCGCAUGGCAUUUUUAAACUUUGUGAUGAAGCCAGAGUCGUACAUGUGAGUGACCAUUUAGCAGACUAACCAAGAAGAAUGCACACCUUAGUGAAUGUAGUGGACAAUUUAGACAAUUGUAAGGAUAAAGAGAUUUGAGAUAUUAAAGAAGUUUUUAAUCCUCCACAGAUAUGGCUGCACAUUCCACGUGCAGGCAGAAUCUCUUAAUGUCACAGAGACAAAGAAGCUCAUUCUCAGCCUUCUCACAAAAUUAUACAUCACUGAGUCCAUGUCUAUUCAAGUCCUACCUGGUGACAUCAACGUCUCACACAUAGGUAUGUCGGAGAUGUGAAGUCAUGUCAAAGCACGACAUCCUCUCUCAGAUCUGUUUUGUCCAACGUCUACAGUCACGCACUGGCAAUCCAGGAUGCAAAUCUGUUGUGUAUUUGUCUGCAGCUCCAGGCUCCUGCCCCGAUCACGACCAGCACACCCUGCAUGGCCUGUUUGCCUGGCCCAAGACGGAGCCACAGGACAUGGCCAUCGUCCUCUGUCAGAAGAACAAAAAAGAAAGAGCAACACGAUUCUGUAAACUAGAUGGCAUGACUGAUAAAGCCAUGUGGGAAUCUCCAGAUUUGAGCUCAUGCAAAAGGAUUGUGGUCGACAUCACUGACUUGGACAAGGUCAAUGUCACAGCAAGUAAGAUUGGUGCAUUUUGAUCAUACUGCUCUGUGGUUUAAACAGAUUCUUGGUUGUAAAGUAAAAUUGAAAGGCUUCUAGCCCACCAUUCAUGAGAGAUACCUGAGGGAUAAUGAGAAUUGUACCUGUGUCUUCUGUGC